AUUGAACGCUGGCGGCAGGCCUAACACAUGCAAGUCGAACGAGUGGCGGACGGGUGAGUAAUGUCUGGGAAACUGCCCGAUGGAGGGGGAUAACUACUGGAAACGGUAGCUAAUACCGCAUACCAUCGGAUGUGCCCAGAUGGGAUUAGCUAGUAGGUGGGGUAACGGCGCACCUAGGCGACGAUCCCUAGCUGGUGUGAGAGGAUGACCAGCCACACUGGAACUGAGACACGGGCCAGACUCCUACGUGAGGCAGCAGUGGGGAAUGUUGGACAAUGGGGGCAAGCCUGAUGCAGCCAUGCCGCGUGUAUGAAGAAGGCCUUCGGGUUGUAAAGUACUUUCAGCGGGGAAGCGUUACCCGCAGAAGAAGCACCGGCUAACUACGUGCCAGCAGCCGCGGUAAUAC
rnacentral:rRNA from 1 species